UAGAGUUUGAUCAUGGCUCAGGAUGAACGCUGGCGGCGUGCCUAAUACAUGCAAGUCGAGCGAAUGGAUUAAGAGCUUGCUCUUAUGAAGUUAGCGGCGGACGGGUGAGUAACACGUGGGUAACCUGCCCAUAAGACUGGGAUAACUCCGGGAAACCGGGGCUAAUACCGGAUAACAUUUUGAACCGCAUGGUUCGAAAUUGAAAGGCGGCUUCGGCUGUCACUUAUGGAUGGACCCGCGUCGCAUUAGCUAGUUGGUGAGGUAACGGCUCACCAAGGCAACGAUGCGUAGCCGACCUGAGAGGGUGAUCGGCCACACUGGGACUGAGACACGGCCCAGACUCCUACGGGAGGCAGCAGUAGGGAAUCUUCCGCAAUGGACGAAAGUCUGACGGAGCAACGCCGCGUGAGUGAUGAAGGCUUUCGGGUCGUAAAACUCUGUUGUUAGGGAAGAACAAGUGCUAGUUGAAUAAGCUGGCACCUUGACGGUACCUAACCAGAAAGCCACGGCUAACUACGUGCCAGCAGCCGCAGUAAUACA
rnacentral:rRNA from 1 species